CAGCAGCCGCGGUAAUACGGAAGGUCCAGGCGUUAUCCGGAUUUAUUGGGUUUAAAGGGAGUGUAGGCGGUCUGUUAAGCGUGUUGUGAAAUUUAGGUGCUCAACAUCUAACUUGCAGCGCGAACUGGCGGACUUGAGUGCACGCAACGUAUGCGGAAUUCAUGGUGUAGCGGUGAAAUGCUUAAAUAUCAUGACGAACUCCGAUUGCGAAGGCAGCGUACGGGAGUGUUACUGACGCUUAAGCUCGAAGGUGCGGGUAUCGAACAGGAUUAGAGACCCCUGUAGUCCCUGUCUCUUAUAC
rnacentral:rRNA from 1 species